rnacentral:lncRNA from 1 species
GGGAUCGCGUUUCAACGGGAGUUCCGAAAAGACUUUUCAAGUCACCUUCACCGAAAAAUGGACUCUGACGUGCGCGCAUUAAAUGGAGGCGGCAGUGCGCAAGGUUCGAAGGGGCAAUUUCGGCUGUGCACAUCUCUCUCUGUGUGUACUUCCUUCACUUGAAAUUCAAACUCGGAAGUAGGGGGACUGGUGUUGGGUAUAAAAUACCCGCAGCCGAAAUCCUCAGCAGAAC